rnacentral:rRNA from 1 species
AAAGGUCCGUAACAAGGUCUCCGUUGGGUGAACCAGCGGAGGGAUCAUUACACAGUUGUAAAACUCCCAAACCAUUGUGAACGUUACCCAUCCCGUUGCUUCGGCGGGCGGCCCGGGCCCCGUGCCCGGCGCCCCCCGGCCCCUCGCGGGCGCCCGCCGGAGGUAAACCAAACUCUUGAAUUGUAUGGCCUCUCUGAGUCUUCUGUACUGAAUAAGUCAAAACUUUCAACAACGGAUCUCUUGGUUCUGGCAUCGAUGAAGAACGCAGCGAAAUGCGAUAAGUAAUGUGAAUUGCAGAAUUCAGUGAAUCAUCGAAUCUUUGAACGCACAUUGCGCCCGCCAGUAUUCUGGCGGGCAUGCCUGUUCGAGCGUCAUUUCAACCAUCAAGCCCCCGGCUUGUGUUGGGGACCUGCGGCUGCCGCAGGCCCUGAAAACCAGUGGCGGGCUCGCUAGUCACUCCGAGCGUAGUAGUUACAUCUCGCUCAGGGCGUGCUGCGGGUUCCGGCCGUUAAAAAGCCUUAUUUACCCCAAGGUUGACCUCGGAUCAGGUAGGAAGACCCGCUGAACUUAAGCAUAUCAAUAA